UACGAGGGGGGCAAGCGUUGUUCGGAAUUAUUGGGCGUAAAGGGUGCGUAGGCGGUUUGGUAAGUCUUAUGUGAAAUCUACAGGCUCAACUUGUAGUCUGCAUGAGAAACUGCCGGGCUUGAGUAUGGGAGAGGUGAGUGGAAUUCCUGGUGUAGCGGUGAAAUGCGUAGAUAUCAGGAGGAACACCUGUGGCGAAAGCGGCUCACUGGACCAUAAACUGACGCUGAUGCACGAAAAGCUAGGGGAGCAAACAGG
rnacentral:rRNA from 1 species